CUACGGGACGCAGCAGCGAGGAAUAUUGCACAAUGGGGGGAGCCCUGAUGCAGCAACGCCGCGUGGAGGAUGACGCAUUUCGGUGUGUAAACUCCUUUUAUAUGUCAAGAAAAUGACGGUAGCAUAUGAAUAAGCACCGGCUAACUCCGUGCCAGCAGCCGCGGUAAUACGGAGGGUGCAAGCGUUACUCGGAAUCACUGGGCGUAAAGGACGCGUAGGCGGGUUGGAAAGUCAGGUGUGAAAUCCUACAGCUUAACUGUAGAACUGCACUUGAAACUUCUAAUCUAGAGUAUGGGAGGGGGAGAUGGAAUUAGUGGUGUAGGGGUAAAAUCCGUAGAUAUCACUAGGAAUACCUAAAGCGAAGGCGAUCUCCUGGAACAUUACUGACGCUAAGGCGUGAAAGCGUGGGGAGCAAACAGGAUUAGAUACCCGCGUAGUC
rnacentral:rRNA from 1 species